rnacentral:rRNA from 1 species
GACAGAGGUGCCGAGCGUUAGGCGGAAUCACUGGGCUUAAAGCGUGUGUAGGCGGCCCGUUAAGUGCCUCGUGAAAUCCCCCGGCUCAACCGGGGAACUGCGGGGCAUACUGGCGGGCUUGGGUCGCUCAGGGGCAGACGGAACAGGCGGUGUAGCGGUGAAAUGCGUAGAUAUCAGGAGGAACACCGGUGGCGAAGGCGGGUCUCUGGGCCGAUACUGACGCUGAGGAGCGAAAGCGUGGGGAGCAAACAGG